UGAAUUAGGAGAGUGAGUUGUGAAGAUGGAAAACAGAGGUGAUCCUGAGCAGCAGAAACAGAAUAAUGCAUCAUUUGUUGUGAAAAUACCUUCAUAUGAAGAGUGGCUCAGUCCUCCAAAGAUGCCCCUUCAUCCUCUCAAGGAUCCCAUCCAAGGCAAACCAUUCAUUCUGAAGCUCCAUCCACUUCAGUUUCAUCAGCUGGUGCAAAUCGGAAUGCCAUCAUCGUAAGCCAUAGACAGGUGAGUUACUUUUGUUGUGCACUGUUACCAAUAUGUUCAAUCAAUAAUAAGCAUAUGCCAAACUCAUUGUUGAUAUGUAAUUCGUUAUGUGGACUCAAAAUGACUAAACAUUAUUACCUGGGGAGUUUUUCAAUGUUUACUUGGUCAUUAUGUUAACCUACAGACUACAGUUUUUA